rnacentral:tRNA from 1 species
GGGCGUAGCUCAGUUGGUAGAGCCCCGGAUUGUGAUUCCGGUUGUUUUUCGAUUCAUCGAAUUCCCA